GACGAACGCUGGCGGCGUGCCUAACACAUGCAAGUCAACUUGACUGAAGGAGCAAUCUGACAGUAGAGUGGCGCAAGGGUGCGUAACGCGUAAGUAACUUGCCCAAGGUAAGGAAUAACGUCGAGAAAUCGGCGCUAAUACCUCAUAAUGCAGCGGAUCCGCAUGGAUAUGUUGUUAAAGGUUUACCGCCUUGGGGUAGGCUUGCGUCUGAUUAGCUAGUUGGUGUGGUAACGGCACACCAAGGCUACGAUCAGUAACUGGUCUGAGAGGAUGAUCAGUCACACUGGAACUGAGACACGGUCCAGACUCCUACGGGAGGCAGCAGUGAGGAAUAUUGGGCAAUGCUCGAAAGAGUGACCCAGCAACGCCGCGUGGAGGAUGAAGGUAUUCUAUAUCGUAAACUCCUGUGAGAGCAGACGAAGACAGAUUAUAAUCUGGAUGACUGUAUGCUCAGAGGAAGCCCCGGCUAAC
rnacentral:rRNA from 1 species